AACGAACGCUGGCGGCAUGCCUAACACAUGCAAGUCGAACGAGACCUUCGGGUCUAGUGGCGCACGGGUGCGUAACGCGUGGGAACCUGCCCUUAGGUUCGGAAUACCUCCCCGAAAGGGGUGCUAAUACCGGAUAAUGUCUUCGGACCAAAGAUUUAUCGCCUUUGGAUGGGCCCGCGUUGGAUUCGCUAGUUGGUAGGGUAAAAGCCUACCAAGGCGACGAUCCAUAGCUGGUCUGGGAGGAUGAUCAGCCACACUGGGACUGAGACACGGCCCAGACUCCUACGGGAGGGAGGAGUGGGGAAUAUUGGACAAUGGGCGAAAGCCUGAUCCAGCAAUGCCGCGUGAGUUAUGAAGGCCUUAGGGUUGUAAAGCUCUUUUACCCGGGAUGAUAAUGACAGUACCGGGAGAAUAAGCUCCGGCUAACUCCGUG
rnacentral:rRNA from 1 species